AGAGUUCGAUUCUGGCUCAGGACGAACGCUGGCGGCGUGCCUAACACAUGCAAGUCGAGCGAGUGAAUCUCCUUCGGGAGUGAAGCUAGCGGCGGACGGGUGAGUAACACGUGGGCAACCUGCCUCAUAGAGGGGAAUAGCCUUCCGAAAGGGAGAUUAAUACCGCAUAAGAUUGUAGCUUCGCAUGAAGUAGCAAUUAAAGGAGCAAUCCGCUAUGAGAUGGGCCCGCGGCGCAUUAGCUAGUUGGUGAGGUAAUGGCUCACCAAGGCGACGAUGCGUAGCCGACCUGAGAGGGUGAUCGGCCACAUUGGGACUGAGACACGGCCCAG
rnacentral:rRNA from 1 species